rnacentral:rRNA from 1 species
UACAGAGGGGGCAAGCGUUGUUCGGAAUUACUGGGCGUAAAGGGCGCGUAGGCGGCCUGCUAAGUCGAACGUGAAAUCCCUGGGCUCAACCCAGGAACUGCGUCCGAUACUGGUUGGCUUGAAUCCGGGAGAGGGAUGUGGAAUUCCAGGUGUAGCGGUGAAAUGCGUAGAUAUCUGGAAGAACACCAGUGGCGAAGGCGACUCACUGGACAUGUAUUGACGCUGAGGUGCGAAAGCGUGGGGAGCAAACAGG